UACGUAGGGGGCUAGCGUUGUCCGGAAUCAUUGGGCGUAAAGGGCGCGUAGGCGGCCACCGCAAGUCAGUUGUGAAAGCUCUGGGCUUAACCCAGAAAGGUCAGCUGAUACUGCGGGGCUAGAGUGCAGAAGGGGCAACUGGAAUUCUCGGUGUAGCGGUGAAAUGCGUAGAUAUCGAGAGGAACACCUGCGGCGAAGGCGGGUUGCUGGGCUGACACUGACGCUGACAGCGCGAAAGCUAGGGGAGCGAACGGG
rnacentral:rRNA from 1 species